rnacentral:rRNA from 1 species
GUGGGGAAUAUUGGACAAUGGGCGAAAGCCUGAUCCAGCCAUGCCGCGUGUGUGAAGAAGGUCUUCGGAUUGUAAAGCACUUUAAGUUGGGAGGAAGGGCAGUAAGUUAAUACCUUGCUGUUUUGACGUUACCGACAGAAUAAGCACCGGCUAACUUCGUACCAGCAGCCGCGGUAAUACGAAGGGUGCAAGCGUUAAUCGGAAUUACUGGGCGUAAAGCGCGCGUAGGUGGUUUUGUAAGUUGGAGGUGAAAUCCCCGGGCUCAACCUGGGAACUGCCUCCAAAACUGCAUGACUAGAGUACGGUAGAGGGUAGUGGAAUUUCCUGUGUAGCGGUGAAAUGCGUAGAUAUAGGAAGGAACACCAGUGGCGAAGGCGACUACCUGGACUGAUACUGACACUGAGGUGCGAAAGCGUGGGGAGCAAACAGGAUUAGAUACCCUAGUAGUCC